GCUACAGGCUUAACACAUGCAAGUCGAGGGGCAUCAGGAAGAAAGCUUGCUUUCUUUGCUGGCGACCGGCGCACGGGUGAGUAACACGUAUCCAACCUGCCCUUUACUCGGGGAUAGCCUUUCGAAAGAAAGAUUAAUACCCGAUAGCAUAAUGAUUCCGCAUGGUUUCAUUAUUAAAGGAUUCCGGUAAAGGAUGGGGACGCGUUCCAUUAGGUUGUUGGUGAGGUAACGGCUCACCAAGCCUUCGAUGGAUAGGGGUUCUGAGAGGAAGGUCCCCCACAUUGGAACUGAGACACGGUCCAAACUCCUACGGGAGGCAGCAGUGAGGAAUAUUGGUCAAUGGGCGGUAGCCUGAACCAGCCAAGUAGCGUGAAGGAUGAGGGCUCUAUGGGUCGUAAACUUCUUUUAUAUAAGAAUAAAGUGCAGUAUGUAUACUGUUUUGUAUGUAUUAUAUGAAUAAGGAUCGGCUAACUCCGUGCCAGCAGCCGCGGUAAUACGGAGGAUCCGAGCGUUAUCCGGAUUUAUUGGGUUUAAAGGGAGCGUAGGUGGACUGGUAAGUCAGUUGUGAAAGUUUGCGGCUCAACCGUAAAAUUGCAGUUGAUACUGUCAGUCUUGAGUACAGUAGAGGUGGGCGGAAUUCGUGGUGUAGCGGUGAAAUGCUUAGAUAUCACGAAGAACUCCGAUUGCGAAGGCAGCUCACUGGACUGCAACUGACACUGAUGCUCGAAAGUGUGGGUAUCAAACAGGAUUAGAUACCCUGGUAGUCCACACAGUAAACGAUGAAUACUCGCUGUUUGCGAUAUACAGUAAGCGGCCAAGCGAAAGCAUUAAGUAUUCCACCUGGGGAGUACGCCGGCAACGGUGAAACUCAAAGGAAUUGACGGGGGCCCGCACAAGCGGAGGAACAUGUGGUUUAAUUCGAUGAUACGCGAGGAACCUUACCCGGGCUUAAAUUGCAGUGGAAUGAUGUGGAAACAUGUCAGUGAGCAAUCACCGCUGUGAAGGUGCUGCAUGGUUGUCGUCAGCUCGUGCCGUGAGGUGUCGGCUUAAGUGCCAUAACGAGCGCAACCCUUAUCUUCAGUUACUAACAGGUCAUGCUGAGGACUCUGGAGAGACUGCCGUCGUAAGAUGUGAGGAAGGUGGGGAUGACGUCAAAUCAGCACGGCCCUUACGUCCGGGGCUACACACGUGUUACAAUGGGGGGUACAGAAGGCAGCUAGCGGGUGACCGUAUGCUAAUCCCAAAAUCCUCUCUCAGUUCGGAUCGAAGUCUGCAACCCGACUUCGUGAAGCUGGAUUCGCUAGUAAUCGCGCAUCAGCCACGGCGCGGUGAAUACGUUCCCGGGCCUUGUACACACCGCCCGUCAAGCCAUGGGAGCCGGGGGUACCUGAAGUACGUAACAGCAAGGAUCGUCCUAGGGUAAAACUGGUGACUGGGGCUAAG
rnacentral:rRNA from 1 species